rnacentral:lncRNA from 1 species
GCACAUGCGCAGAAUCAUCGUGGUGCACGGCUCUCCCGUUGCUUCUUCGGUUGCAGUCCUCUUGGCUUCUUGCGCGUGCGUGUAGCGCUUUUGCAAAGCCGCGGAGGUGAAGCUAACGUAGAGGCUGUGGGGCCAAGGGGUCCUCUUAUAGCUAUCAGCCCACAGGCAUUUAGUCUACGUUGGAGGUAAACAAAUACGGGUCCAGCUUAGGAGAAAACAAAAACGUCUUACAGCCAGUGUCUAAACUCCAAACAACGGAAUGUAUCAAUGAGACCUUGUAUAUGGAUACACGUGCAUUUAAAACCGCCCUGCCGGCGUGUAGAGCUCUUGCCGUUCGCCAGCGCUUUACAGGGGUUAUCGCACUUAAGCCUCGGAACAACUUUACCAGUGAUUCUACCAGAAAGGAAUGAAGAACAGAACCUUCAGGAAUUGAGUCACAAUGCAGACAAAUAUCAAAUGGGAGAUUGUUGCAAGGAAGAGAUUGAUGAUAGUAUUUUCUACUAGCCAUUGGGAAGAUAAAAGGAGACAGAAGAUUGAAGCCUUUGCCAGCCAUUCUUUCCCUUUUUGCUUCCAAACUCCUCAACUGGGAACCUUCAUAUGUGCAGUAUUUAUAUUGGAUCAUACUGGUGAUUAUAAAGGUUCCUAGGAAGCUAGAAGAGCCAACCAACAGAGAAGGGAAAGCAGUCUGUUCUGAACAUAGGGACAUAAGUUCAUUCAUGCCAAGUAUCUUUCCAGCAUGUUUCUCCCAUUUAGAACAUGUAGCAUGUAAGGCCUUUUAAUAUUAAUAUAAGCCCAAUAUCAGCUUUUUCCCUUUGUAUUUCAUCUCUUUCUACUCUCCUAUUUGUAUUUUGUGUUCCUAUCAAAGUGUCAUAUCUGGGAGAUGACCUGCCUUUUCCUGUUCUAUAACAGUUUUGUUUGCUGCUGUGUCUUUAGAACAGUGCCUGGCACGCAGUAAGCACUCAAUAAAUCUUUGAUGAAUGAAUGAA